GUCAUUAUCAACCAUCAAGCCUGGCUUGUCGUUGGACCUUUUGGUCGUCGAGACCGGUCCGAAAGAAAAUGGACGGGCGUCUGGUGCCCCCGAUGCAAUGAGCUCUUUUAACAGCACGCAUCGGUGCGGUCGGCAGCCCCGCCCCAAACCCCAAUUUUCAGGUUGACCUCGGAUCAGGUAGGAAUACCCGCUGAACUUAA
rnacentral:misc_RNA from 1 species